rnacentral:misc_RNA from 1 species
GAAUGAAGAACGCAGCGAAAUGCGAUACUUGGUGUGAAUUGCAGAAUCCCGUGAACCAUCGAGUCUUUGAACGCAAGUUGCGCCCGAAGCCAUUAGGCCGAGGGCACGCCUGCCUGGGCGUCACACGUCGUUGCCCCCCCAUCUACUCCUUCGGGAUUGCGGGGGGCGGAUGAUGGCCUCCCGUGCGCCUCGCCGCGCGGUUGGCAUAAAUGCCAAGUCCUCGGCGACGCACGCCACGACAAUCGGUGGUUGCGAAACCUCGGUUGCCCGUCGUGUGCGGUCGUCGCGCAUCGAGGGCUCGAAAAAAUUGCCGGGUUCCGGCUCGGCUUUCAACGCGACCCCAGGUCAGGCGGGGUUACCCGCUGAAUUUAAGCAUAUCAAUAAGCGGAGGA